GUGGUGCAUUGUGGGAGUUGUUGUCUUACAUACAAAUGUGCCCUAAAGUUAUUUUCUGUCUUUUCUCGGUCAAGAGGGCACCAAAUUCAAAAUUUCUUUUACAUUUCGACUACAUAUAUGACCCACUUUCAAUAAAGAUUAAUGUUGAAAUGGGUGAAGUGCUCCUUUAAGAGCGCACUCCGAGUCCAAGUCCGAGUCCAAAGAGGGCCGAGUCGGACUUGAGUCCGAGUCCUUAACAUCCGAGUCCGAGUCGAGUCCGGCCGAGUCCACAAAGAUUUAAAUGAUUUGAAAUUGACCUUUCACAAAGAUCCGCCCCUCUUAGUUACUGUUGCUACGUCCGAUAAGCCAUUCAGCUCUCACUUCACAUGUUCUCACACAGUGAAAAAUAUAUUGCGGAGCAAAGAG